CAGUGGCAGACGGGUGCGUAACACGUGAAGAACUUGUCCGGUGGCGGGGGAUAGCCGGCCCAACGGCCGGGUAAUACCGCAUACGCUCGUGUGGGGGCAUCCCUGUACGAGGAAAGCAGCCGCAAGGCGCCGACGGAGAGCUUCGCGGCCUAUCAGCUAGUUGGCGGGGUAAUGGCCCACCAAGGCGACGACGGGUAGCUGGUCUGAGAGGAUGAUCAGCCACAUUGGGACUGAGACACGGCCCAGACUCCUACGGGAGGCAGCAGUGGGGAAUAUUGCGCAAUGGCCGCAAGGCUGACGCAGCGACGCCGCGUGUGGGAUGACGGUCUUCGGAUUGUAGACCACUGUCAGGGGGAACGAAUACAGGGCGUCGAAUAGGCGACCCUGGGUGACGGUACCUCCAAAGGAAGCACCGGCUAACUCCGUGCCAGCAGCCGCGGUAAUACGGAGGGUGCGAGCGUUGUCCGGAAUCACUGGGCGUAAAGGGUGCGUAGGCGGUUCAGUAAGUUGCUGGUGAAAUCCCGGGGCUCAACUCCGGGGCUGCCGGCACGACUGCUGGACUUGAGCACGGUAGGGGCAGAUGGAAUUCCCGGUGUAGCGGUGGAAUGCGUAGAUAUCGGGAAGAAUACCAGUGGCGAAGGCGUUCUGCUGGGCCGUUGC
rnacentral:rRNA from 1 species